rnacentral:rRNA from 1 species
AUUGAACGCUGGCGGCAGGCCUAACACAUGCAAGUCGAGCGGAUGAAGGGAGCUUGCUCCUGGAUUCAGCGGCGGACGGGUGAGUAAUGCCUAGGAAUCUGCCUGGUAGUGGGGGAUAACGUCCGGAAACGGGCGCUAAUACCGCAUACGUCCUGAGGGAGAAAGUGGGGGAUCUUCGGACCUCACGCUAUCAGAUGAGCCUAGGUCGGAUUAGCUAGUUGGUGGGGUAAAGGCCUACCAAGGCGACGAUCCGUAACUGGUCUGAGAGGAUGAUCAGUCACACUGAAACUAGAACACGGUCCGAACUCCAAGGGAAGGCGGAGGUGGGAAUAUUGGACAAUGGGCGAAAGCCUGAUCCAGCCAUGCCGCGUGUGUGAAGAAGGUCUUCGGAUUGUAAAGCACUUUAAGUUGGGAGGAAGGGCAGUAAGUUAAUACCUUGCUGUUUUGACGUUACCAACAGAAUAAGCACCGGCUAACUUCGUG